ACAGCCACACCUGCGGCAUAUGGAAGUUCCUGGGCUAGGGGUCAAAUUGGAGCUGCAGCUGGCAGUCUACAUCGCAGCCACAGCCACACCCACACCAGAUUCGAGCCACGUCUGUGAUCUAUACCACAGCUCAUGGCAAUGCCCGAUCCUUAACCCACUGAGCGAGGCUGCAGACGUGGUUCAGACCCCGCACUGCUGUGACCAUGGCAUAGGCCAGCAGCUGCAGCUCCAAUUCGACCCCUAGCGGGGGAAUUUCCAUGUGUCGCGAGUGCAGGCCUAAAAAGACACACACAAAAAAAGGGGUCUAAAAUUUAUAUAUUGAUGUUUUAACCCCUACCUAAUACCUCAGAAUAAGACUGUGUUUGGAGGUAGGGCCUUUAAAAAGUUGGUUAAAGCAAAAUGAGGUCCUACGGGUGGGCCCUAAUCCAAGAUAAGAGAGGAAUAAGACACACAGAGACAUCAGGGUGCUCAGAGACAGAGGAGGUGCUAUGUGAGGACCAAGUGAGAAGAUGGCCGUCUGCAAGCCAAAGUCAGAGGCCCCAGAAGAAACCAAACCUGCCAACACCUUGAUCUUGGACUUCUGGACUUCAGAACCAUGAACAAAUGAAUCCUGUUGUUGCAGCCAUCCAGUCUGUUGUAUUUUGUCAUGGAAAUCUCAAGCAAACGAGGAUACAUUUCAAAACCACUUUGCCUUUUCUAUUUGCUUACAAAGACUUGCAAGGCAUCCAGGUUUCAUAUCUCCUGGGCCACCGGACACAACUGAAGCCAUGCCAGCCUGCAAGUGCUCAGAGGUCCCUCCACCCACAUGGUCUCAGACCACUUGUGGAUUUGGAUUUCACAAAACUUGUAUGAUGUCAUCCCAGUGGCAUCCUAAUUAAGGACUCUGGUACAGAAGAAGACUGCCACAUCGACGACAGAAGCCCACAGGUACACACACAGCCGCAGAGUUAGCUGGGGACAGAUGUGGAGAAAAGCAACUGAAUCCACCUUGAGCAUGAAUGACAAGUCUCCAAUGGUGGGAAAAAGCGGCCAGCAUCCCCCAACGAAAGGCCCCAGCUAUGUAAUUUGGAGUCAUAUUCCUGCUCCAUGUGAUUAAUAAAGACUAUUCCAAAUGGAUCUGGUUCUUUCGAAGGUGGGCAUAUUCUUGCUAUUUGGAAGCAGCCACAUCCACUGCUCACUGAACUUCCUGUCCUGGAAUCUCAUGAGUUUGCACAUGGAGGGUUGUUAAUAAAAGGCUAAGUAGAUAAUUCAAACCUGUGGGUUUGGAAGUCAGUUUGGGUUGCUUAAGCUCUGAUUUUCAAGCUCUUCUUUGGGAAAAGCUUUGGAGGCCCACCGUGUUUUUUUCUGGAUGAUUGCUAAAGUGACAAAGUUCAUGUGAGAGAGUUUAGACAUUGCCAGAUGAAGUGAGCCCAGUGGGGGCCUGGCUGGGUCAUAGCUGGUGUGAUAAGGGCUCUUUCCACCCUGUUUCUCCAUGGCUCUGAGGAGUUCCCCAGAAGGAAUUCUAGCCCAGUUUUGAGCAAGAUCAACUUUGGCAGAAAGCAUGUCCUGAGGGAUUUGGGGGCCAUAUUUAUUUGCAUAUCUAUGUCACAGCAGGCUUGAUCAGGACACACUCACCCUUCCUGCUGAGUUCCAAUCCUCCACCACCUUACUCUUUCACCAGCCAAAGGACACCCAACACCCCCUCUCAAGGACAGUCUGGACUUGCCCACCUCCAUGCACCUGCUGACCUCUGCACUCAGGCAGCCUUCCGUCAUCACCACUGUACGUCCAAAUCCACCUGCCUCUCAAGGUCUGGUCCAGACGCCACCUCUGUCACAAGCACUGCGGUCCCAGCAUAAGCCACUCUCCCCACGGACCUCCAGCUCCCGUGGCUCAAAUCCCCCUUCACUGGUGUCAUUUCCACCAAAAUUCUUUUCUGAUUGACUGUUGCAUCCUCAUCAGAACCUAGAGUGCUUAAUAAAAUAUCUGUGGGUUUUCACCUCAUUCAAAUCCCAUUACUUCUUUGUUGCCGUGUAAAAAUACUUCCCAUAGUGUAUUUUGAUGUUCUUUAUAAUCUACAAUGAUGAUCAUGUCUGCCCUUCUAAGCACUAAAAAUCUUCCAUAAGUCUGUCCUGGUUAUAUGCCUUAACUGAGAAGGGAUUAAAAUGUCACAGUCUCAGAGUUCCCAUGCGGUGUGGCAAGUUAAGAAUCCAGCAUCGUCACCACAGCAGCCAAGGUCUAGGUCACCACUAUGGCUCUGGUGUGAUCCCUGGCCAGAGAACUUCCACAUGCCAUGGGUGCAGCCGAAAAAAAAAAGGAUGAGCCUGUCUGGAGCUGCUGCUUUUUUUUUUUUUUUUUUUUUUUUUUUUGGUCUUUUUUUGUCUUUUCUAAGGCCAAACCUGUGGCAUAUGGAGGUUCCGAGGCUAGGGGUCUAAUUGGAGCUGUAGCUAACGGCUUACACCAGAGCCACAACAAUGCAGGAUCCGAGCCACGUCUGCAACCUACACCACAGUUCACGGCAACACCGGACCCUUAAUCCACUGAGUAAGACCAAGGAUCGAACCUGCAACCUCAAGGUUCCUAGUUGGAUUCAUUAACUACUGAGCCACGACAGGAACUCCAAGCUGCUGCAUUUGAUCCCAACAUAAAGCCUGGGUCUAGGAGAUGUUGUCUCCUGCAUAAGCAUCAAGCCCCAGACCCUGUGACUUCCAAAUCACAGGGCUUGUUUGAACUAUCUACUUAGUCCUUUACUAAGAAUGUCAAAGUGUGAAUUUGUGAGAUCCCAGGACGGGCAGCUCAGGGAGCAGCAGAUUUUGCUGGUUCCAAACAGCAAGAAAUUCCUUUGGUUUAAAAGAACCGGAUCCAACUGGAAUCAGCCUUGUGAAGUGCGAGCCUGGCUCUGCAGUUACUGACCAGCAGUGCUGAGCCGUCCA
rnacentral:lncRNA from 1 species